AUGAACGGCGGCGACGAGCUCGGCCAUCCAUGGCGGACGCAGCUAGGAGCAUGGGAACACGCGCGGGUAUAUAAAGUAUUCGAUAGUUAUAGUAAAUUAAUACACAACCUGUACAAUAAGAAAUUGAUUCUUAAUCGUAAAAUGCUUGCACAAGUAGAUGUAUCAUAUCCAAAUGAUCUUUACACGAUUUCCAAUAAAAUAAAGAUCAUCAGAUAA
rnacentral:rRNA from 1 species